rnacentral:SRP_RNA from 1 species
CGUGCCCUCACCAACAGCGCGCUGUGAAACCCGCCAGGGCCGGAAGGCAGCAACGGUAGCGGAAAGCGAGUGUGGUGGGGGCUUAGCC